rnacentral:tRNA from 1 species
GGAAGUGUGGCCGAGUGGUUUAAGGCACUGGUCUUGAAAACCAGCGAGGGUAACACCUCCGUGAGUUCGAAUCUCACCGCUUCCGCCA